rnacentral:rRNA from 1 species
AUUGAACGCUAGCGGGAGGCCUAACACAUGCAAGUCGAACGGAAGGUGGGAGGGUGAGUAAGGUCUGGGCACCUGCCUGGUGGAGGAGGAUGACUACGGGAAACUAUAGCUACUACCGCAUACCAUCAGCUGUGCCCAGAUGGGAUUAGCUAGUUGGUGGGGUAACGGCUCACCAAGGCGACGAUCCCUAGCUGGUUUGAGAGGAUGACCAGCCACACUGGAACUGAGACACGGUCCAGACUCCUACGGGAGGCAGCAGUGGGGAAUAUUGCACAAUGGGCGCAACCCUGAUGCAGCCAUGCCGCGUGUAUGAAGAAGGCCUUCGGGUUGUAAAGCACUUUUAGCGGGGAGGCGUUACCUGCAGAAUAAGCACCGGCUAACUCCGUGCCAGCAGCCGCGGUAAUUC